UACAGAGGUGGCAAGCGUUGUUCGGAAUUACUGGGCGUAAAGGGCGCGUAGGCGGUUCGUCAAGUCCUGUGUGAAAUCCCCCGGCUCAACUGGGGGAACUGCACAGGAAACUAGCGGGCUUGAGUUCGGGAGAGGGAAGCGGAAUUCCGGGUGUAGCGGUGAAAUGCGUAGAUAUCCGGAGGAACACCGGUGGCGAAGGCGGCUUCCUGGACCGACACUGACGCUGAGGCGCGAAAGCGUGGGGAGCGAACAGG
rnacentral:rRNA from 1 species